rnacentral:lncRNA from 1 species
UGAGCACGGGAGAUCUCCGCUAUAGCUGCCAACUCAGGUGUGGUUGCUCUGCUGUUAAAUCUGUUUCGUGGACUACUCACCACAACUCAAAUUUAAGUAUAAUCUGUGUAUACAGACUAUGCUUUCUGACUCCAUCCAUGCAGUGAUGUUCACCUACAUUGAUCUUGCCAUCUAAUCACUGAGAAGAAUAUGAUGAGAAGCAUGAGCAUGGAGCAUAGACAAUGUGGAGAGAAACCUGCUUCUGUAUCACCUCUGGCAAUUUCUCCUUCAAUCCACUUCUGAGUAGCAUAUCAGUGAAGAUAUAGAACUCUUGGCUCCUCCUUCACCACAUAUGUUUGGCUGUGCCAUAUUCUUGCCUUGAUGAUAAUGGACUGGACCUCUGAACUGAAAAAGACCUUUGCACUUGUGAACUCACAGUAGCUGUGACUGGCUGUACAAGAUCUGUGCAUUGCUUAAGAGUGACACAUAACCCGCCUUAGACAGUUGAUGGCUGUUAGAGAAAGUAUUCCUCCAAGGAAAGUGGUAGAUAGAGAAAGGAGACUUUUCUUGAGGCUUUCAAUAAACCUUGCCUGGAGUAAACACUAUAGUAGAAACAUUGCACGACCCUGCUUCAAACAACUCAACAAUUGAAAAGUAACCACGUUGGAAUGAGUUCCUGUAUACAACAGCCAUGCUAUGUCUAGAAGAGAGCAUUUCAGAGCUUUCUUCCAAUUUUCUGGCUUUUAUAUUAGGCCCCUCUUUGGUAGUAUUCCUUGAGACUUGGGGAAAGGAGCUGUUUGAUAUACAUGCCUCAUCAUUGCCUGAUCUCCCUCAGUCACUUAUUUUCAGCCAUUUAAAUAGAUAGUUUCUUCACUAACCACUCCUAUUCACUGUGAUAAGGUUAUUGGACAUGUUGAGAGCAGAGCAAAUCUAUGUAUAUAAACAUAAAUAUUUAGAAGGCAAUUUGACCUAACUCUUUAAGAGAGGUUCCCCCAUAGGGCCAAUGUACUUUCUAUCAAUAUUUUUUUGGCCAAUUUAGUCUAACAGCCAUGAAUUCCUUCC